AUCAGACCACCUUAAGUGGGUCCGCCUUAAAUUUUGAGUUUGUGUGAUCGCUGUUGAUUGGUAGCUAAACUGCUGGUAAACUGUGUACAGAAAAAAAAAUUCUGGUAGCAACAUUGUGCAGUAUGAGCGAACCAUUUCACCAAAAAAAGGGGAAGCAAGGCAAGACGUGGCUGCAGCGGUCUGCAGACGUGACUUCUGAUCAAAUUCGAACCUCCUCCUAAAGAAACAAAGAGCGACAUUACAUUGCGGGAUGACGUCACCUGAAAAUGACCAAUAGCGCGGCGCGCUGCUGAGCUGUGUGCCAACCGCUCUUUUUUUCAUGCAGGAAACUCAAGUUGGCUAACGGACACAGUUUUGAACUCGUAUAUUAGCGCCAUUUAUUGCUGCUUGGACCACAGCAUCUUCGGAAUUUGUAGACAUCCUGGCAGCUUACAAUUAGUUCGAGGUGAGACACUGAAUUUGAGCAGAAACCAUAAGGAUACUCAAAGGACCUGUGACUCUCAGGAAAUGCAUCAAAUGAGAGGGACAGAUGAAACAGUUUCAAGACAAUGGCAGGAAAAACAUGCUGAAGAUUGAAACAAACCUUGGCUGGAAAUAUUUGAAGGUAUCUAGCCAGUCCACAAUGAAAGCUUCGUUGCACCCCAUGAGUCUUCUGGCAGAAAUGAUGGCACCUGUAUUCUUUGGUUUCCCUAAACAUCACACCCUGCCUGUUUAUACGAGGCUCUUCAAUUAAGUCUGCACCCAAAGAUUCAAUAAGAGGUAAGCAGUGGUAUUAUUCAAGUUUUGCUAAAGAAAGAUGGACAGGAGACACUAAUCUUAAUCAGCCGAGCUCAGGUUCAUGUCCAGGUGAGCAGUUUCAUACGCUAUAAAAUGUAGAUUGAAUGAUAGGUCUCAUCACCAUGCAUUCAGCCAUUAACUU